CUGGUGUAACCCGAAAAACCACAAAAGAGUAGGGA
rnacentral:ncRNA from 1 species